rnacentral:ncRNA from 23 species
AGGGAAUCCCGUGAGAACCGGGAGCGGUCCCGCCGCUGUAAACGGAGACAAAGCCGCUUUGGGCCACUGUCAUUCAUGACGGGAAGGCGCGGCUGCGAAAGACCCGUGAGCCAGAAUACCU